UACCAUUUGAAAAUCUGUCAAAAGCCAUGGGGUGUGUCUCCAGAAAGAUGAAUGUUCUCACAUAAAAAGAAAAUGUUUAUACACGAUUUCAUCAGGUUCAAUGGCUCCCUGAAGCUUAGUAACCCCAGGUUAGACAUUUCUGUUGUGAGGACAAAUAAACCAUAGGCCCACCUAGAACUACAGAGGUAAUGAAGAAAAUGUAGCUGAUCAAGGUCCCUGGGCCCUGGGAUACGAGUAUCUGUCCAGGUAAAAGGCAGGACAGAAUAUAUUUAAUUUUUAAUUAUUGAUGAGAGGUUGAAUAAUUGUCUUCCUCUUGAUUUAUGUCUCUACAGUAUUGCAUCAUUUUUUUUUUUUUUUAAGCUUUGGAUCUUAAAUCGAGAAAAAGGUCACCAUCAGAGCUUAGAAUUUAUAAGGCUAAUCACAGAGAAGCCGAUCAGAUCUUCUGAAGUCUGUGAAUGACACCAGGCUCAGGAGGUCAGUCCUAUUGGGUGACGAUGAUCGGAUUUCGUGAGAAUCCGACACAAAGGACUCAGAGGCAGAUCAAACCACCGAAAGCUCAGACUGUUAGACCACAGGGGUACCUUCCUGCGCGGCCUGCGGACACCGGCCGCACUUCGCCAGUCGGGCAGUGGCACAGCUUACGUGCAAGCGGCCCCAGCGCAUGUCUCAUAGAAUCAUGUCGGCAAGGCCAUCCCAACCUCUCUACUGAGCAGGCCCUACAGUCUCCGUGGCCUCGGGAAACAAGCUCCUACCCCACUCACUCGGGAGCGAACACCGGUGACCGGGGCUGCGCUGCGGACUUUUCUCCACGUUGACUUCGAGGAUUCAGCCCUUUUUCUGUCUCCUGUCCUGCUGCUGUUGAAGGCAGGGGUUGGCCAACUAUGGACUGUGGACUCGUCACUUAUUUCAUAAAGUUUCAUCGGACACAGCGUCGAAUGUUCGCGUGUUGCUCCUGCCUCUCUGCCCGGAGGACGGAGCCGAGUGGCUCUCCCAGCUCCUGACGUCGCAGCAGGACAACCCGCCACGGCUCUGCUGCAGAGAAGUUGGCCAGCUUUGCUCCUGGGCCGGUUUGUCCGCUGCCUCGAGCCUUCGGGAAUAAAAGAGCACAGAGAACUUAGGAACAAAGCCUUGGGUCGGAGAAGACGUUCAUGUCUUCUACUCCCCUUCACGGGUAGACACCGGCCACAUGGUCACUGUGCAUGUAGACCGUCUGGGAAACGCAGUCUCGGGCCAAGACGCCUGUUCCCAGCCACGACUCGACAUUAUGAGGGGUGGAGCACACGUGUUGGAGAACAGUCAUCGGUCUCUGCUACCAAACACCUAAUCAGAGCCUCGAAAGGAACCAUGGAAGUCAUGCUUAAUUAAUUAACUCCUAUUCAUCCAGGGUAUCCUAUGUUUCACCAAAUUUUGAGUUCUUAAAAAAGAGAAAUGAAUAAGACUCAAUCAAAUAAGUGAAACCACCAUAUACGGAUCUCUUUCAUUCUUGUUAUAUUCUUGUUACAGUCACCUGAAUAAUCACGGGGGCGGGGGGGAGGUGGUAACGACAGGAGGGGAGUGUGGGUUCUGUGUGGUUCUGGGUCAGUGCUUCCCUAGAUGUCAGCUGCUGGCUGUUCCUGGAUGAGGAGAUUGGAAAAUGAACGUGUUCACACUGCAAGAUUUGGGCAGAUACUCAGAAUUGGGGCUCACAGGGCACUGGGCCUGUAGAGCUGGGCUAACAGACCGGGCCAAAAGCUAACCUGAGGGCUGUGCUGGUGACCGGUGAAGACGGAAGAUGCCAACAAUAAUGUUGGCCUUAGCGGGUGAGCUGGCUAUGCUCCUUUUCUUUGAUUAAAUUCAAUGAAGUGUCUACUUUUUGCUUGGAGUGAGGACACUAAGUAAGAUAUCAUCUUUCCCUUUAAGGAACACAUGAUUUAAUAGAGGAGAUAAAACACAAAAAUAAGUAGUUUCAAUAAAAUAUGGUAAUUCUCUUGAGGAUGCCAUGCCCUGGUGCCUAAUUCCACUUACGGGAGUAGUUUGGGGUGUUAAGAAUGACUUCCUAG
rnacentral:lncRNA from 1 species